rnacentral:rRNA from 1 species
AGAGUUUGAUCCUGGCUCAGGAUGAACGCUGGCGGCGUGCUUAACACAUGCAAGUCGAACGAUGAAGCCCAGCUUGCUGGGUGGAUUAGUGGCGAACGGGUGAGUAACACGUGAGCAACCUGCCCCUGACUCUGGGAUAAGCGCUGGAAACGGCGUCUAAUACUGGAUACGAACAAGAAUCGCAUGGUUACUUGUUGGAAAGAUUUUUUGGUUGGGGAUGGGCUCGCGGCCUAUCAGCUUGUUGGUGAGGUAAUGGCUCACCAAGGCGUCGACGGGUAGCCGGCCUGAGAGGGUGACCGGCCACACUGGGACUGAGACACGGCCCAGACUCCUACGGGAGGCAGCAGUGGGGAAUAUUGCACAAUGGGCGGAAGCCUGAUGCAGCAACGCCGCGUGAGGGAUGACGGCCUUCGGGUUGUAAACCUCUUUUAGCAGGGAAGAAGCGAGAGUGACGGUACCUGCAGAAAAAGCGCCGGCUAACUACGUGCCAGCAGCCGCGGUAAUACGUAGGGCGCAAGCGUUAUCCGGAAUUAUUGGGCGUAAAGAGCUCGUAGGCGGUUUGUCGCGUCUGCUGUGAAAUCCCGAGGCUCAACCUCGGGCCUGCAGUGGGUACGGGCAGACUAGAGUGCGGUAGGGGAGAUUGGAAUUCCUGGUGUAGCGGUGGAAUGCGCAGAUAUCAGGAGGAACACCGAUGGCGAAGGCAGAUCUCUGGGCCGUAACUGACGCUGAGGAGCGAAAGGGUGGGGAGCAAACAGGCUUAGAUACCCUGGUAGUCCACCCCGUAAACGUUGGGAACUAGUUGUGGGGUCCAUUCCACGGAUUCCGUGACGCAGCUAACGCAUUAAGUUCCCCGCCUGGGGAGUACGGCCGCAAGGCUAAAACUCAAAGGAAUUGACGGGGACCCGCACAAGCGGCGGAGCAUGCGGAUUAAUUCGAUGCAACGCGAAGAACCUUACCAAGGCUUGACAUAUACGAGAACGGGCCAGAAAUGGUCAACUCUUUGGACACUCGUAAACAGGUGGUGCAUGGUUGUCGUCAGCUCGUGUCGUGAGAUGUUGGGUUAAGUCCCGCAACGAGCGCAACCCUCGUUCUAUGUUGCCAGCACGUAAUGGUGGGAACUCAUGGGAUACUGCCGGGGUCAACUCGGAGGAAGGUGGGGAUGACGUCAAAUCAUCAUGCCCCUUAUGUCUUGGGCUUCACGCAUGCUACAAUGGCCGGUACAAUGGGCAGCGAUACCGUGAGGUGGAGCGAAUCCCAAAAAGCCGGUCCCAGUUCGGAUUGAGGUCUGCAACUCGACCUCAUGAAGUCGGAGUCGCUAGUAAUCGCAGAUCAGCAACGCUGCGGUGAAUACGUUCCCGGGUCUUGUACACACCGCCCGUCAAGUCAUGAAAGUCGGUAACACCUGAAGCCGGUGGCCUAACCCUUGUGGAGGGAGCUGUCGAAGGUGGGAUCGGUAAUUAGGACUAAGUCGUAACAAGGUAAAUCUCU